AUCUGCGAUUCUGCGUUAUGUAUGUAUGUAUGUAUUCUCUACAUUAUGAGCUUGAUUGGUUCUCCCUCUGUCAUCCGCAAAAACGCUGCGUUUGCGGGUGGUAGCGGUUGUUAGCGUUUGACACCAAUCAUAGAAACCGCUAGAUACCGUUUUGGACCGCUCGAAAUCGCCAGAUUUUAAAAGCUCCUUCCCGCAAGCGUUUGCGGUUGCGGGCGGUAGCGGUUAGAUUAAUUUUUUUUUU
rnacentral:sRNA from 1 species